rnacentral:rRNA from 1 species
AUUGAACGCUGGCGGCAUGCCUUACACACGCAAGUCGAACGGUAACGCGGGGCAACCUGGCGACGAGUGGCGAACGGGUGAGUAAUACAUCGGAACGUGCCCAGUAGUGGGGGAUAGCCCGGCGAAAGCCGGAUUAAUACCGCAUACGACCUAAGGGUGAAAGCAGGGGACCGCAAGGCCUUGCGCUAUUGGAGCGGCCGAUGUCAGAUUAGCUAGUUGGUGGGGUAAAAGCCUACCUAGGCGACGAUCUGUAGCUGGUCUGAGAGGACGACCAGCCACACUGGGACUGAGACACGGCCCAGACUCCUACGGGAGGCAGCAGUGGGGAAUUUUGGACAAUGGGCGCAAGCCUGAUCCAGCCAUGCCGCGUGCGGGAAGAAGGCCUUCGGGUUGUAAACCGCUUUUGUCAGGGAAGAAACGGUCUGGGCUAAUACCCUGGGCUAAUGACGGUACCUGAAGAAUAAGCACCGGCUAACUACGUG